rnacentral:sRNA from 1 species
UCGUCUUGAUGAUCUAGGUUAUUAACGGC